rnacentral:piRNA from 1 species
UAAUCCACAGUGGUCCUGCGUGUGCCCUU